UCCUAUUGGCUGAGCUGUGUGACGUCAUAUUUCUGCGCUCCGGCGUUCCAACCUUGAGCGCGCAUUUGUGUUUCUAGCAUUUGGUGGCGGCUCCCCGCAGGUUGUCAUUACCAAUGACUCAGAAGCCGCUGCGUCUCUUGGCUUGUGGAGAUGUUGAAGGAAAGUUCGAUGUUUUAUUCAAUAGAGUUCGGACAAUUCAGAAGAAAAGUGGGAACUUUGAUCUGCUGUUGUGUGUAGGAAAUUUCUUUGGCUCUACCCAAGACGCUGCCUGGGAGGAGUAUAGGACUGGCAGCAAGAAAGCUCCUAUUCAGACGUAUGUGCUUGGUGCCAAUAACCAGGAAACAGCCAACUAUUUCCAGGAUGCUGAUGGCUGUGAAUUGGCUGAAAAUAUCACUUAUCUGGGUCGAAAAGGAGUCUUCACUGGAAGCUCCGGGCUGCAGAUUGUAUACCUCAGUGGGACAGAGUCCUUAGAUGAACCAGUCCCAGCUUACAGUUUUAGUCCCAAAGAUGUGUCUUCCCUGAGAACGAUGCUGUGUUCUGCACCCCAGUUUAAGGGUGUUGAUAUCUUACUCACGUCCCCGUGGCCCAAGUAUGUGGGGAGCUUUGGGAAUUCCUCUGGAGAAGUAGAUACCAAACAGUGUGGCUCUGCUUUGAUCUCUAGCCUUGCCGUAAGCUUGAAACCGAGGUAUCAUUUUGCCGCGUUGGAAAAGUCGUAUUAUGAGAGACUUCCAUACCGAAACCAUGUCGUUCUACAAGAAAGUGCGCAGCAUGCCACUCGCUUCAUAGCCCUGGCGAAUGUUGGGAAUCCAGAAAAGAAGAAGUAUCUUUAUGCCUUCAGUAUUGUUCCUAUGAAGCUGAUGGCUGUAGCCGAGCUGGUAAAGCAGCCUCCGGAUGUCACUGAGAACCCUUACCGAGAAUCUGGGAAGCAAGCCGCUGCAGGGAAACAAAUCCCUGCCCCUCAGGAAGAGUCAGCCUGUCAAUUCUUCUUCGAUUUGAAUGAGAAGCAGGGAAGGAAACGGUCAUCCACAGGCAGGGAUAACAAGCCCCCUCAUGCUAAGCACCCUCGCAAGCCUCCUCAGCCUCCAGGACCGUGUUGGUUUUGCCUUGCCAGCCCUGAAGUGGAAAAGCAUCUGGUGGUCAACAUUGGCACACAUGUGAGUUACUUCCAUAGGCUUUCAGCAGAUGGCACUGCACAGAUUACAGGCCGGUUUUCCCCAGUUCGGAGUAGAAGUAGAUCCUUCCACUUCAAAUGAAUCUGACAUCCUUUCAGGUGGAAAACACCGUGUGUCUCAGGGAAGUCAUUGGGUUUAUACUUUUUCUCAGAGCUCGCAGUUCAGGCUUUGUAAAGAUAAGUCUUUUACUUACAGUGAAGUAGUCACCAGAGUUAAGUCUAAACUGGAUGUUCUCAAAGCCAGCUUACUGUGUAACACUUCUGCAGACAGAUGGUGUUCAUCUGGUUUUCAUUGAUAUCUUUCAAUUUUGGUUUCUAAAGGUGACUUUUCCUCUUCAUCUUAACAAUCUGAGAGUUCCUUUUUUGUGAGCUCCUGUAGACCAACUGGAGUCUCACUUUGAUUUUCACUUCCUUUCCAACUGAAGAGGCCUAAACUUACCUAUUUCUGUUUUUCAUCUUAACUAUUGGCAUCCUGUCCAGGGAGGUGUUCUGGAGUCAAGGCCUGUGCCACACAGUUGGCUUGUAAGGUCGUGGAUGAGCUCUGACAGCAAGCUUGACAGGCCUUGACUUUUGUGGGUGUGCUCUUUUUAGAUCAGCUUUGGGCUCCCCUCACUGGAUUAACCUUUUGCCAAUCUUCUCCCUUACACAGCCUUCAGGGAGGCAGGUUCGAGCUGCCUUUUCUUAGGGAAGCAUACAAGGUUCCAGGGCCCGUGGGGGAGGAGGAGGGGUUGGAGCGGAUGGCUUGGCCUCUAGGUCUUGGGGUAAAAUGUUCUUUCUUUGCUUCCCACAGCUUAUUCCCCAGGAAAUGGGCCUGGGAAAUGAAGGAAACUGUUCCUUUGUAUCUGAAGCCAGCAAAAGGUGUCUUUAGGAACGCUUUUGACCAAGUUCCUAACCGCAAAGUAGAGGGCCUCGAACAGUUUAUCCUAGACUGGUGCUUGCCUGAGAGUCAAAUCUGCACUGCGCUGAGCUUUCUCUGGGCUUCUGAGUCCCAGCAAGGGCUCGCAGUCUUCCUGGUCAUUCCUCUUGCUUUUCUUGUAUUACAUUUUCCUCGGGGCUGUCUCUGAGCUGCUGUGCUUUUCUUCCUUAGGAAGGUACAUAAAGUGUGCUAACGGUGUGGUAAGGGGAGUCCCCUGAGCCCCGAGCAAGGAUUGCACGUCCAUGUUCCCCACGGGGAACAUUCAUUUAGGCCCUUUAUCCGUUUACAUGGUUAGAGACCACCCAAGUAUAAAACAGGUCAGAAGAGCUUGAAAGAGCAGAGCACUGGGAAAGUGGGAAAUAGUGUGUGACAACUGAUGUACAUUAGAGGUGUGCACAGCCACUUGGUCUAGCCGUUAAAUAGCUAAAGAACACACAUCAGUAUAAAGCUGACAUCUUUGGCAGUAGCCUGUGACAAAGGCUAGAAAAUAAAGGGUUCUAGAGUAACCUUUUUAAACAAAUGCAACAAAUGGCUAUGAAUAAAAACUUUCAAUUCCUCUGAGGAUUUGGGGAGGAUGUUGUUUGGUUAUUGGUGGUAAGGCUCUUCCUCUGUUCCUAGGCUGGUCUUAAAUUUGAGAUUCCCGUUUUAGCCUCCAGAGUGGGUAGAACUAUAAGUGUGUGUCACCAUGUCCUGCUCCUUGAGGUUUUAGUGAACUGAAAUCUCUUGGGAAACCAGCUGUGCAUGUGUUUAGUUCUCUGUCAGUAGAUCAGGGAGGAGCCUCUGGACUUUCUUAUUCAGCCUUAGCUUUGGGACCACCACACUAAAAGUACAGUUUGUUUUUAAGUCCCUAUGUACUUCCCUGUAUUGAUAUUCCUUGGCCCUUUGCCUGCUCACUCAAACCUUCUUUUCACAUCAUGACUGUUAGAGCAGUACCACCUGUCUGGAUGGUUUCGUUUCUCUUUUACUGUUGCUGGUCUUGACAGGGCUGAGGCCAGACUGUCCUCUUCUACCUGCUGAGUGCUGGGGAAGGGCAGCCUCCUCACCUGAUGUGCAGUGCUACCUUGCCCUGGCCAAAGGAGGCUUAUCUGAUGACCAUGUCCUCAUCCUGCCCAUUGGACACUACCAGUCGGUUGUGGAGCUUUCGGCAGAGGUGGUGGAAGAGGUAGAGAAAUAUAAGGAUACUCUGAAACGCUUCUUUAAGAGUCGAGGGAAGCGUUGUGUUC